UAAUUUGAAGGCAUUUUUUCAUAGUGCAUUGGAAAUCACAAAAGACUCGUUGAACUCAACAGGAUCCUUACUCCCAGUUAACCUGCCUUACAGUCUGAUGGCUGUGGCUGUUCUGAUACAUUUUGGUAUUUUCUCAGUGGCAUCGGUAUAUUCAGUGGAGAAAAUCAGCAAAUACUGUGAGGUGAAAAGGGCUUCCUUUUAGAGACACCUCAUUUUUAGCACAACAGUCAUCCUAGGACUCUCUCUCUCUUUUUCUCCCACUACUAUUAUAUGGACUGUAAGAACAGGGAGGUGAGAUCUGGAGGCAGAGAAGAUGAAAAAAACGAUUGCAUCUCUUUCCUGGGACUGAUCUUCUGCUUAGUGACAAGCUAUCACAGUUGCUCCUUAGUGAUGCCACUCCCAGCUGCAAAAGGAAGAAGGCAGAAGAGGAUCAAGCAUACUUCUGCCCCAGGACCCUGCAAUAGCACAAGAUGUCUUGUAACUCCCAGAACGUUGUACAAAAAUGCUUCAUGCUGUUGAGAGCAGCAGAGGUGAAAUGGUCCUGGCUGGUCUGAUCUCUGGGACUGAAAUUUCCCUACCAAAUCCAAACCUGGCAGUGAGGGCAUGAGUAGGAGAUGAUAAAUUGCUGUGAGAAGAAAUGAGAUCUUAUUCACAUCUACCGUGGAGUCACCAGAAUCCAUUUGCAUAAAAAAUGAAUCUAACCCACAUGUCUCAGAUGCCAUCUGAGCCAGGCCUUGAGAUUAGGAAGUUUUCUUCAUCAUAAAGCCCGAGAGCGCUCCACACUGCAUGAGACAGUCCUGAAUCUUCAUGUAAAUUUAUUUUUUAGGAUGUGUAAAUAUUUUGGUCUUCAAACUCCAAGGCUUUAAUUCCAUGUUUUAUGCAUCCACUACUGAUGCAGAAAGAGCGUUGUAACUAGUUUCUAACUUAUAUCUAAAGUAGAAAUUUAAAUACUGUAUGGGGAAUUCCAUUUCGGGUUUGGGUUUUUCACUUAUAAAUGCAUUCCAGUAAUUCAGUCUGUAAUGUUUUGAUUAUAGUUGUUGUUUUCUUAAUACUAGUAAGCAUGUGAAAUUAACUGUUGCUUUUCUAUGUUGUUUAGACACGCUCGUGAACAGCCUCCUCCACAUCCUCACAAAAUGCAUCCGAGUUAUGGUCCUGGGCAUCACAUUCAUGUGCUCAGACAAUGUCUUUCCAUCCUCAACUAGUUCUGGUGAGAUCCUCUUGGUUAGUGGUCUUGGAUUUUUUUGCAGUUCUUGAUCACAAAUGUAUAUUUCUCACAUUACUAACCGCAAACUCAGGUGUUAGAACAACCUGAGCCAUCUUUGAGCAGUUUCUCAUCAGUGGCAUAAAGUAUUUAAGAGCAUUUUGCUGCUCUUUCUGUUUUUACAGACUUUAUCUUUUGUAUUUUCAUGAAAGCUUCAUCUCAUAUUCAGAGUAAUACCUCCUACUGAAACCAAUGAAUGCUUUCAUUGUCAGUAAGGCAGACCCACAGAGGAGCUUAACUAGUAAUACAAGUUUUCUUUUUGGCUGGUUUUGUGAUUCAUGUUUCUGUAUGUUCGUACUUAGAAGGAAGACUUGCUAAUGUGAUUUUAUGUGAGCUACCCAGUUUGAUGGGGAGCCCCUAGAGCUCUUUCCUGUGCCCAGCUUUAUUGCAGUACUUUUAAAUCUAUUGGACUGCCUCCAUUAGAAAAGUCACGUCUGACUUUGUGUCCAAAGACUCAUAUUUGUUUAUUAAAAUGUUGCACUCAAGUCGAUAUUCUGUAAGCAUAGCAACCCAGUCAGGAUUUGCCUGUAACCUAUUGGCAUUAUGUUCAAUAGCAUGAUCCUGACAACAGAUUUAUUGCAACAUUAACACUAUGUCAGGUAACAUCCUUCCUUUAGGUCAAAUUCUGAUCCAUUUUACUGCAAUUAAAUCAUGUAGUUUAAAGGGCAAAAUUUGCCCUUAGAAAAGUGUAUUUCACUCUGUUGGUCCCUUAUGCUUUUUUCUUAAGGCUAAACAGAGUUUGCACAGAUACUUUCUUUCCAAUUCACCAGUCUUACUUCCCAUGUUGGCUAUUCUAUUUAACCUUGAAUAGAUGCGCCAAACUGCUCCCAACAUAGUGGGGUUUCUAUACUUCGUAGGAGGAAGCCCCAGAUGCUUCUUCCAUUGUAUGACAACUACACAACUCCAUAACUAUACUUGACUCUGUUUGGUCAAGAUGAAUGGCAUCUUAAAAAAUUCCAUCCUGUACUGUAAUCAUUAUAAACACGUGGACAGCCCCUUCUUUACCUUUUUUAGUCAUGACUUUUGCCCUUUUUUCUUGAUUGAUAAGUGACAGCUUUGCAUUCUGGACCUUGAGAUAUAUAUUUACAGUAGUCUAAGAAAUUUGUCCUUAAUCAAAGGAGGCUUGACUUGCCAGAACAUCUUUAGAAUAUUAUUGAGUAACUCAUUAAAAUGUUAAUAGCUUCUGUCAGGAUUUAUUGAUCCUGAUGUCAGCUUUUCUCAGAAUAAGAAAUAAAGCUGAUUUUUAUCUUGGCUUUGGACCAUGCUGAGUGAUCAGUAUUUAAACAGAAUAAUGAGAAGUGCUUGAGUAGACUAAUUGGCAUCUAGCACAUGUAUCAGUUCUGAAUACAGACAAAGCUCUCCAGAUAUAUGAGUGUAUUUUGUUGUGGUGUGUGAAAUAAUAUGUAAUAUAAAGGAAAUUAAGAAGACACUUUAUUUGGAUUAUUUUGACAAUUUUUUCUGCUGAAGUAAAUAGAGGCAAUACAAUCACAUCAAAUAUUGUCUCUUGGAUAAAAUAGAGUCUUUUUUAAAUAGCUUAGUAAAAUAAAAGUAUGUGUCCUUGUUGUUCAUUGCAUCCUAAGUUAUACAAGUUAAAUAAUGAUCAAAAACUAUUCUAAUUAAUUUCUUUAGGACAAACACUUGAUACAGACUAUUUUCUAUUGUUGUCACAUUAUUUUGGUUAUAUGUGGAACUGAACAAAAGACUGACUGACAAGUGAAGGAGAGGGAGAGAAGGGAAUUUGUUUUUCAAAGGCAGCUGCUAAUCUCAGAAUCUUUCCCACCAUGAGCAAUGUUGUCCAACAAGAGUAAAACAACAAAUCCCGUCCUGACUCUAGCAGAGGCAGGAUUGUCAAGUGUUAAGAUGAAUGAAAGAAAUAAGAAAGAAGAAUCUGUCUUUUAUACCUUGCAUUAAAAUGAUUGAGUCAACCUUCAUAAGGACACUUGAGUACAUCACAAGUAUCUUACCUCAUGUUCAGUACUUUUAACAGAUGGAUAUAAUGUUGUGAUACUUUGCUAAUCCAAAAGGACCCUGAAGACAGUAUAUAGAAAUCUGUCCCUUAAAGAUUUAUUUAAGUAUCAACCUACAAGGCAAUUCCCUCUGAGCCUGGCAUGUAAGCACCUCUGU